GGGGAUGUAGCUCCAAUGGUAGAGCGGCGGUUUGAAGAACCGCGCGGUGUUGGUUCGACUCCAACUGUCCCCA
rnacentral:tRNA from 1 species